rnacentral:rRNA from 1 species
GUUGUCCUACGGGACGCAGCAGUGGGGAAUAUUGCACAAUGGGGGAAACCCUGAUGCAGCGACGCCGCGUGAGUGAAGAAGUAUCUCGGUAUGUAAAGCUCUAUCAGCAGGAAAGAUAAUGACGGUACCUGACUAAGAAGCCCCGGCUAACUACGUGCCAGCAGCCGCGGUAAUACGUAGGGGGCAAGCGUUAUCCGGAUUUACUGGGUGUAAAGGGAGCGUAGACGGCAGCGCAAGUCUGGAGUGAAAUGCCGGGGCUC